UACGGAGGUGCGAGCGUUAUCCGGAUUCACUGGGUUUAAAGGGUGCGUAGGUGGGUUUGUAAGUCAGUGGUGAAAUCUCCGGGCUUAACCUGGAAACUGCCAUUGAUACUACAGGUCUUGAAUUUUCUGGAGGUAAGCGGAAUAUGUCAUGUAGCGGUGAAAUGCUUAGAUAUGACAUAGAACACCAAUUGCGAAGGCAGCUUGCUACAGGAAUAUUGACACUGAGGCACGAAAGCGUGGGGGAUCAAACAGG
rnacentral:rRNA from 1 species